rnacentral:rRNA from 1 species
GAUGAACGCUGGCGGCGUGCCUAACACAUGCAAGUCGAGCGAUUCUCUUCGGAGAAGAGCGGCGGACGGGUGAGUAACGCGUGGGUAACCUGCCCUGUACACACGGAUAACAUACCGAAAGGUAUGCUAAUACGAGAUGAUAUGCUUUUAUCGCAUGGUAGAAGUAUCAAAGCUUUUGCGGUACAGGAUGGACCCGCGUCUGAUUAGCUAGUUGGUAAGGUAACGGCUUACCAAGGCGACGAUCAGUAGCCGACCUGAGAGGGUGAUCGGCCACAUUGGAACUGAGACACGGUCCAAACUCCUACGGGAGGCAGCAGUGGGGAAUAUUGCACAAUGGGCGAAAGCCUGAUGCAGCAACGCCGCGUGAGCGAUGAAGGCCUUCGGGUCGUAAAGCUCUGUCCUCAAGGAAGAUAAUGACGGUACUUGAGGAGGAAGCCCCGGCUAACUACGUG